CACACACAGUGAAUAUGCAGCCAAAUAGACGACAGCAUAUACAGCUGCUACACUGGCCUAUCAGAACGUUCUAGAAGUACAUUAUUCACGCAAUAUUUAUGUAUGAGGUUCUGCUACAUUCUCCCCAUGAUGACCAGGGCCCCCACGCUCCAUCCACGCCCUCCGGACGGGUCCCAAAUGGAACACAUUCCCUCUUGUAACACCACUGUGGACAGAUAGGGUUAGAUUAUUGUAAGCAAACGACUCCAUCUCCUGUAUUCUCCCUUUGCAAUAAUGCCCAUCUCGUUGUACAUGGACAACAGAAAAAGAUGGUACCCUCAGCAGCUGGGAUGCUGUUAGUGAUGCAACGGCCGGUUUUACUUAAACACCAAAGUUCACUGCAAACUUCCUGGAAUAAUGAAAUACACUUUGAUGAAGAGAGAUGAAGUUUUGGCUGGAAGAAGACAUCAUGGCGGUCUGAGUCGGACGGGGAAGAAAAGGAAAGAGGACAACGCUGAUCAGAAAAGACGUGACCUGAGCCAAACACCAGGAUCUUCUCAUGAAUUGCCCAGUGGGAUUUUCUUAGUCCUUUGUUCAUUCCAUAUUAAUUACCGCUAAGUUCACUCACAGACUCUGUUUGGGGCCUCUGUCACAAAGUCUGUUCACUACAGAAAAAUGAAAUUGGAUGGUCUAUUGCACAAGAAACACCAACUGAUGCUGACAGAUCCAAUUGAUUUUAAUGGGGUCCGUUUGGUUUCCAAUUGGUGUCCAUUCAUUAGCAGAAUUCGAGUCCUGAGAUGUAAUGUGCACAAAAAUCAGCUAAAAAUUUAUGUUGCAUGAUUUAGUAAAUUUAAUCUAGUUUCACAAGUUUGUCUGUGUCAUGCCCCUUUUUCUAAAUAAAAAACAAAAAAUACACAAGAAUGUGUAAAGCUCGUAAAAGUGUUGCAAUUUUGGCACAUCCACUUGUUGGUGAAUAAGCAUGUGACAAUUUUUUGGCACAUCAGGGUGCAACUUUGGCGCAACAUCCAUAGUAAAUCUGGGCCACUUACUACAAAGUACACGUAUAACUAUAUUCAUUUGUCCAGUUACUUUUGAACAUGUGAAAAUGGGGGAAAUAUAUAUAAAGAGCUAAUUCUUCAGUAGUGAAUAACAUUUUUCCUUAAAGGGGUAUUCUGGGGAACUCAACUCAUCCCUUAUCCACAGGAUGGGGCAUAAGUAUCUCCUGUUUGGGGCCCGGGAACUCACCCGUCCUUAGUUCCCCUUCGGCCCCCACCUUGCAAGAUGAGAAGGAGUGAUGGCCUGCUAGAAGCAGGGCCAAAGAUGUUGGAGGGGGAGGUGGGGGAACACGAUACCACUACCAGAUUGUCUACAUUUUGGCUUGUAUCUAUUGCAUCUAUUCUUCAUUGUUGUAGUUUGUUUAUGUUGCUACCAGGCUAGCCUAGUGUUUGCACACAUUUGCAAUUUAUAUUCAUAUUUUUGCAUACCUAUUACUGCAACUAAGAGAUUGGUGCAAUUCUGUUGUGCAAUGCCAGGCUUACUGCAUUAUAAUUCAGUGCAUUAUUUUCUCUUGUUCUCAUAUAUUGUCUGGGCAGUGUGCAUAUAAUUGUCUGACCAUCAGCAUUUAUAUUUGUUGACUCUAUGUUCCCCCACCUGCAUGAUUUUAUGUCAUAUGUGUAUAUGUUUUUAUUGGGGGAUAUUUGGGGUUACUUUGAAUUUUGUGUUUCAAUAAAAUUACAA